rnacentral:rRNA from 1 species
CCCUUAGACGCUCUAGGCGGCACGCGCGCUACAAUGGGUGGUAGAACGUGUUACUGCUUCCGAAAGGGAGAGUGAACCACGAAUACCUACCCGUGAAUGGGAUAGUUUGUUGCAAUUUUCGGACUUGAACUAGGAAUCCCUUGUAAGUAUGCUCAAGAAUAGCGUGCUGAAUACGUCCCUGCCGUUUGUACACACCGCCCGUCGUUUCUUCCGACUGAUACUCAUCGUGAGUUGCAAGGAUCCUCAUGGGAAAAUUGCUGCGAAUGCUUUGUAUUGGAGGAAGAAAAAGUCGUAACA